UACGUAGGGGGCUAGCGUUGUCCGGAAUCAUUGGGCGUAAAGAGCGUGUAGGCGGUCCGGUAAGUCCGCUGUGAAAGUCGGGGGCUCAACCCUCGAAUGCCGGUGGAUACUGUCGGGCUAGAGUGCGGAAGAGGCGAGUGGAAUUCCUGGUGUAGCGGUGAAAUGCGCAGAUAUCGUAAGGAAGACCAGUGGCGAAGGCGGGUCUCUGGACAGUUCCUGACGCUGAGGCACGAAGGCCAGGGGAGCAAACGGG
rnacentral:rRNA from 1 species